ACCACACAGCAUGUAUUACUAAACGUUCUUGUGGUCGUGAUUACCUUUCCAAUCAAGUAUCUCAAUCUCGAUACAUUAAGUUCAUACAUAUUGAGAAAAAUAAGAAGAAAGACAUUUGAGGUUCUCUCAACAUCUGCUUCAAAGUUGAACGUCUCCCUUACCUUCGGUUUUGGUAUGAUAAUAAAAAUCUUAAUCACCAUUUUCUUGCGACAAGAAACGUUUGUUUUCGGAAGGAUACUUUUUCAACCCCCCCUACCUUAUAUCUUCGUUACUCGCCUGCUUCUAUCCCCGCGGUAUAAGGUAAGGUCGAAGGAGAUUGUUUGUGAGGUGAUGAAAGGAGGCUUUCCCUGCUCGCCGGUUAAUUAAUAACCAUACAGACACGAUCUCCGCCUAUCUGGCUAUCCGAUGAAGCUCGACAACUUGUUGGCAAAGGCUUUGGUAUGGUCAUGCCGUUGCCUGGUCGGUUCCUAAGGUGUGCCUCCCUCAACUGGUAGAAAGAGAAGGAAACGAAAUGCGAGUGUAAGAGUGAAGAGGGAGAGGCGAGGGGGAUGGUUAUUGAUGACCAGCUUUGUUUGCCCCCCGAACCGUUUAUUAAAAUCCAACGCGGGUGAUUAACCUCUUCUCGACUACGUCAUCCUGCCAGCUACCAGGCGAAACACCUCCACAUCUCGGCGUGUAGAUGGGUUUGACCGGGAAACCGUUCAUUAAAAUCAAACACGGCUAUCUCAGCUACUAGGCGGAACAGUCUCCUCCACCAUAUUAUGAAUUAAAAUGAUGCACAAGUUUUUUUUUUAGAACCUCCCACGUAAGUUACAUUGAGUAUUUAAUACAUUAGUGAUCACUGUUGUAGAAAAGUGAAGUUUAAAAUGAUAUUUAAUAACAUGUGUCAAUUGAACGUAUUGAAAUUGAUCAGAGAAACGAAGAUGAGAUGGAAUCCAUUUAACGUUGUUAAAGAUGUUUUUAAAUUGUUAUAAAUAUAUUCAAUUAUUUGCGCGUCCAGGAUCGAAGAAGAAAAGCAAAUUAAAGAAAGAACCGAAGAGAAAAGAAAGAAGAAAAUGGAUGCAUCGAGAGCUUCGUAGCAAUCCAGCAGAGAACACACGGCUGAAACGAGGAUUUGCAAACAAUAGGCUCGAAGCGGGUUGAAUUUUUUAGAUGGCGGCUUGAUACGCAUGCAUUUACAUAUUAUUGCUAUUAUUAGGGGGAGUACACAAACGAGCACACUGAACUCUUUUGAAGACACAGGAAAUUAGAUCACAUCGAAGGUGAACAAACGUCUGGGUAGGGAGUUCUCUAGACUGCGUUGCGCCAGGUUUCAAAUUAAAAACGGCGACAUUGGAAGCA